rnacentral:rRNA from 1 species
CAGUAGCCGCGGUAAUACAGAGGGUGCGAGCGUUAAUCGGAGUUACUGGGCGUAAAGCGUGCGCAGGCGGUUCGUUAAGACAGAUGUGAAAUCCCCGGGCUUAACCUGGGAACUGCAUUUGUGACUGGCGAGCUAGAGUAUGGCAGAGGGGGGUAGAAUUCCACGUGUAGCAGUGAAAUGCGUAGAGAUGUGGAGGAACACCGAUGGCGAAGGCAGCCCCCUGGGCCAAUACUGACGCUCAUGCACGAAAGCGUGGGGAGCAAACAGGAUUAGAUACCCCAGUAGUCCCUGUCUCUUAUAC